rnacentral:tRNA from 1 species
GUCCAUAUAGCUCAGUUGGAUAGAGCGAUCGCCUCCUAAGCGAUAGGUCGAAGGUUCGAAUCCUUUUAUGGACGCCA